GACGAACGCUGGCGGCGUGCUUAACACAUGCGAGUCGAACGAUGAACCGGUUUCGGCCGGGGAUUAGUGGCGAACGGGUGAGUAACACGUGGGCAAUCUGCCCUGCACUCUGGGAUAAGCCCGGGAAACUGGUUCUAAUACCGGAUACGACACUCCGAGGCAUCUUGGGGUGUGGAAAGUUCCGGCGGUGCAGGAUGAGCCCGCGGCCUAUCAGCUUGUUGGUGGGGUAAUGGCCUACCAAGGCGACGACGGGUAGCCGGCCUGAGAGGGUGACCGGCCACACUGGGACUGAGACACGGCCCAGACUCCUACGGGAGGCAGCAGUGGGGAAUAUUGCACAAUGGGCGAAAGCCUGAUGCAGCGACGCCGCGUGAGGGAUGACGGCCUUCGGGUUGUAAACCUCUUUCAGCAGGGAAGAAGCGAAAGUGACGGUACCUGCAGAAGAAGCACCGGCUAACUACGUG
rnacentral:rRNA from 1 species